GUGAACGCUGGCGGUAGGCCUAACCCAUGCAAGUCGAACGGCAGCACAGUAAGCGCUUGCUCUUACGGGUGGCGAGUGGCGGACGGGUGAGGAAUACAUCGGAAUCUACUUUUUCGUGGGGGAUAACGUAGGGAAACUUACGCUAAUACCGCAUACGACCUACGGGUGAAAGCAGGGGAUCUUCGGACCUUGCGCGAUUGAAUGAGCCGAUGUCGGAUUAGCUAGUUGGCGGGGUAAAGGCCCACCAAGGCGACGAUCCGUAGCUGGUCUGAGAGGAUGAUCAGCCACACUGGAACUGAGACACGGUCCAGACUCCUACGGGAGGCAGCAGUGGGGAAUAUUGGACAAUGGGCGCAAGCCUGAUCCAGCCAUACCGCGUGGGUGAAGAAGGCCUUCGGGUUGUAAAGCCCUUUUGUUGGGAAAGAAAAGCAGCAGGUUAAUACCCCGCUGUUCUGACGGUACCCAAAGAAUAAGCACCGGCUAACUUCGUG
rnacentral:rRNA from 1 species